CCUACGGGAGGCAGCAGUGAGGAAUAUUGGUCAAUGGACGAGAGUCUGAACCAGCCAAGUAGCGUGAAGGAUGACUGCCCUAUGGGUUGUAAACUUCUUUUAUAUGGGAAUAAAAUGUUCCACGUGUGGGAUUUUGUAUGUACCAUAUGAAUAAGGAUCGGCUAACUCCGUGCCAGCAGCCGCGGUAAUACGGAGGAUGCGAGCGUUAUCCGGAUUUUUUGGGUUUAAAGGGAGCGUAGGUGGAUUGUUAAGUCAGUUGUGAAAGUUUGCGGCUCAACCGUAAAAUUGCAGUUGAAACUGGCAGUCUUGAGUACAGUAGAGGUGGGCGGAAUACGUGGUGUAGCGGUGAAAUGCUUAGAUAUCACGAAGAACUCCGAUUGCGAAGGCAGCUCACUGGACUGCAACUGACACUGAGGCUCGAAAGUGUUGGUAUCAAACAGGAUUAGAUACCCUUGUAGUC
rnacentral:rRNA from 1 species